rnacentral:rRNA from 1 species
CCUACGGGUGGCAGCAGUGAGGAAUAUUGGUCAAUGGACGAGAGUCUGAACCAGCCAAGUAGCGUGAAGGAUGACUGCCCUAUGGGUUGUAAACUUCUUUUAUCUGGGAAUAAAAUGUGCCACGUGUGGCAUUUUGUAUGUACCUUAUGAAUAAGGAUCGGCUAACUCCGUGCCAGCAGCCGCGGUAAUACGGAGGAUCCGAGCGUUAUCCGGAUUUAUUGGGUUUAAAGGGAGCGUAGGUGGAUUGUUAAGUCAGUUGUGAAAGUGUGCGGCUCAACCCUAAAAUUGCCGUUGAAACUGGCAGUCUUGAGUACAGUAGAGGUGGGCGGAAUUCGUGGUGUAGCGGUGAAAUGCUUAGAUAUCGCGAAGAACUCCGAUUGCGAAGGCAGCUCGCUGGACUGCAACUGACACUGAGGCUCGAAAGUGUGGGUAUCGAACAGGAUUAGAUACCCCUGUAGUC